rnacentral:tRNA from 1 species
ACCGAAAUAGCUCAGUUGGGAGAGCGUUGGAUUAUAGAUCGAAAGGUCCCCUGGUUCGAUCCCGAGAUUCGGCA